CCUACGGGUGGCUGCAGUGGGGAAUAUUGGACAAUGGGCGAAAGCCUGAUCCAGCCAUGCCGCGUGUGUGAAGAAGGCCUUCGGGUUGUAAAGCACUUUCAGUGGGGAAGAAAGCCUUGGGGCUAAUACCCUCGAGGAAGGACAUCACCCACAGAAGAAGCACCGGCUAACUCCGUGCCAGCAGCCGCGGUAAUACGGAGGGUGCGAGCGUUAAUCGGAAUUACUGGGCGUAAAGCGCGCGUAGGCGGUCUGAUAAGCCGGUUGUGAAAGCCCCGGGCUCAACCUGGGAACGGCAUCCGGAACUGUCAGGCUAGAGUGCAGGAGAGGAAGGUAGAAUUCCCGGUGUAGCGGUGAAAUGCGUAGAGAUCGGGAGGAAUACCAGUGGCGAAGGCGGCCUUCUGGACUGACACUGACGCUGUGGUGCGAAAGCGUGGGUAGCAAACAGGAUUAGAUACCCUGGUAGUC
rnacentral:rRNA from 1 species